rnacentral:rRNA from 1 species
GGAUUAGAUACCCUGGUAGUCCACGCCGUAAACGAUGGAUGCUAGCUGUUUGGGGUAUCGACCCCCUGAGUAGCGAAGCUAACGCGUUAAGCAUCCCGCCUGGGGAGUACGGUCGCAAGAUUAAAACUCAAAGGAAUUGACGGGGACCCGCACAAGCGGUGGAGCGUGUUGUUUAAUUGGAUGAUAAGCCUAGAACCUUACCCAGACUUGACAUCCUUGGAAUUUCUUCGAAAGUAGAAAGUGCCUUUGGAACCAAGUGACAGGUGUUGCAUGGCCGUCGUCAGCUCGUGUCG